UUGGAGGGCAAGUCUGGUGCCAGCAGCCGCGGUAAUUCCAGCUCCAAUAGCGUAUAUUAAAGUUGUUGCAGUUAAAAAGCUCGUAGUUGAAUUUCGGGGUUAGUAGGUUGGUCAUGCCACUGGUAUGUACUGGUCUCACUGAUUCCUCCUUCCUGAUGAGCCGUAAUGCCAUUAAUUUGGUGUUGCGAGGAAUCUGGACUGUUACUUUGAGAAAAUUAGAGUGUUUAAAGCAAGCUAACGCUUGAAUACAUUAGCAUGGAAUAAUGAAAUAGGACGUUUGAUUCUAUUUUGUUGGUUUCUAGGAUCGACGUAAUGAUUAAUAGGGAUAGUUGGGGGCAUUAGUAUUCAAUUGUCAGAGGUGAAAUUCUUGGAUUUAUUGAAGACUAACUACUGCGAAAGCAUUUGCCAAGGAUGUUUUCAUUAAUCAAGAACGAAAGUUAGGGGAUCGAAGACGAUCAGAUACCGUCGUAGUCUUAACCAUAAACUAUGCCGACUAGGGAUCGGAUGAUGUUAAUUUUUUAAUGACUCAUUCGGCGCCUUACGGGAAACCAAAGUGUUUGGGUUC
rnacentral:rRNA from 1 species